CCCGACCUCUGGAAGGGAUGUAUUUAUUAGAUAAAAAACCAAUGCCUUCGGGCUUCUUGGUGAAUCAUAGUAACUUCACGAAUCGCAUAGCCUUGUGCUGGCGAUGGUUCAUUCAAAUUUCUGCCCUAUCAACUUUCGAUGGUAGGAUAUAGGCCUACCAUGGUUUCAACGGGUAACGGGGAAUUAGGGUUCUAUUCCGGAGAGGGAGCCUGAGAAACGGCUACCACAUCCAAGGAAGGCAGCAGGCGCGCAAAUUACCCAAUCCCGACACGGGGAGGUAGUGACAAUAAAUACUGAUACAGGGGGCUUUUGUCUCUUGUAAUUGGAAUGAGUACAAUUUAAAUCUCUUAACGAGGAACAAUUGGAGGGCAAGUCUGGUGCCAGCAGCCGCGGUAAUUCCAGCUCCAAUAGCGUAUAUUAAAGUUGUUGCAGUUAAAAAGCUCGUAGUUGAACCUUGGGCCUGGCCGGCCGGUCUGCCUCACCGCAUGCACUGGUUUGGUUGGGCCUUUCCUUCUGGGGAGCCGCAUGUCCUUUACUGGAUGUGUUGGGGAACCAGGACUUUUACUUUGAAAAAAUUAGAGUGUUUAAAGCAGGCAUUAGCUCGAAUACAUUAGCAUGGAAUAAUAGAAUAGGACGCGUGGUUCUAUUUUGUUGGUUUCUAGGACCACCGUAAUGAUUAAUAGGGAUAGUCGGGGGCAUCAGUAUUCAAUCGUCAGAGGUGAAAUUCUUGGAUCGAUUGAAGACUAACUACUGCGAAAGCAUUUGCCAAGGAUGUUUUCAUUAAUCAGGGAACGAAAGU
rnacentral:rRNA from 1 species